AUGGAGGUGGGCGUUCCGUGGUGCGUUUCUGUGGCAGCAACCUUGGCCUUGCCAGAGACCGGUCCCACUCUCCACACACUCCCACCCUACUUAUAAGAAUUCUGACAUAGCCAACUCCCUAAUAUCUCAGUGCUCAGUCUUUUUGGAAGAGAUGUCUGGGUUUCUAAGUUUCCUGCCUAGAACAAAAGUGAAGGAUGCCAAGAGGACAUCUUUAAUUCUCCAAACAAAUAUUAGCAAAUGGCCCAUAACACAUUUUCCAAACAACAGGUCAACUGAUCUCAGAAAGUGUGACUCCAAGAUCCUGUCUGCCGUUACCACAGAAUUAAGUGGAUCAAUCUGAGCAUCUAUUGUAGUGGAAAAUCCAUGAGAAAAAGACAGCACUAUCUGUCAUUCU